GACGAACGCUGGCGGCGUGCUUAACACAUGCAAGUCGAACGGAAAGGCCCUGCUUUUGUGGGGUGCUCGAGUGGCGAACGGGUGAGUAACACGUGAGUAACCUGCCCUUGACUUUGGGAUAACUUCAGGAAACUGGGGCUAAUACCGGAUAGGAGCUCCUGCUGCAUGGUGGGGGUUGGAAAGUUUCGGCGGUUGGGGAUGGACUCGCGGCUUAUCAGCUUGUUGGUGGGGUAGUGGCUUACCAAGGCUUUGACGGGUAGCCGGCCUGAGAGGGUGACCGGUCACACUGGGACUGAGAUACGGCCCAGACUCCUACGGGAGGCAAGAGUGGGGAAUAUUGCACAAUGGGCGGAAGCCUGAUGCAGCAACGCCGCGUGCGGGAUGACGGCCUUCGGGUGGUAAACCGCUUUCGCCUGUGACGAAGCGUGAGUGACGGUAAUGGGGAAAGAAGCACCGGCUAACUACGU
rnacentral:rRNA from 1 species